GAUGAAGAACGUAGCGAAAUGCGAUACGUAAUGUGAAUUGCAGAAUUCAGUGAAUCAUCGAAUCUUUGAACGCACAUUGCGCCCGCUAGUAUUCUGGCGGGCAUGCCUGUCCGAGCGUCAUUUCAACCCAUCAAGCUUAGCGCUUGUGUUGGAGCCCUGCGGCCGCCGCAGCCUCCUAAAAUCAGUGGCGGGCUCGCUAUCACGCUGAGUGCAGUAGUAUUCUUCUCACUCCUGUGGUGUAGCGGGUAACCAGCCGUAAACCCCCCCAUCUAUAAAGGUUGACCUCGGAUCAGGUAGGAAUACCCGCUGAACUUAAGCAUAUCAAUAAGCGAAGGA
rnacentral:misc_RNA from 1 species